rnacentral:rRNA from 1 species
UACGUAGGGUGCAAGCGUUAAUCGGAAUUACUGGGCGUAAAGCGUGCGCAGGCGGCUUUGCAAGACAGAUGUGAAAUCCCCGGGCUUAACCUGGGAACUGCAUUUGUGACUGCAUGGCUGGAGUGCGGCAGAGGGGAUGGAAUUCCGGCGUGUAGCAGUGAAAUGCGUAGAUAUCAGGAGGAAUACCGAUGGCGAAGGCAGGUCUCUGGGCUGACACUGACGCUCAUGC